AACGAACGCUGGCGGCGUGCCUAACACAUGCAAGUCGAACGGAAUUGAGGGGCUUGCUCUUCAAUUUAGUGGCGCACGGGUGAGUAACGCGUGGAUAAUCUGCCUGACGAUCUGGGAUAACAUCUCGAAAGGGGUGCUAAUACCGGAUAAGCCCACGGGAACUUCGGUUUUUGCGGGAAAAGGGGGGGACCUUUUGGCCUUCUGUCGUCAGAUGAGUCCGCGUACCAUUAGCUAGUUGGUAGGGUAAAGGCCUACCAAGGCUACGAUGGUUAGCUGGUUUGAGAGAAUGAUCAGCCACACUGGAACUGAGACACGGUCCAGACUCCUACGGGAGGCAGCAGUGGGGAAUUUUGCGCAAUGGGCGAAAGCCUGACGCAGCAACGCCGCGUGAGUGAUGAAGGCUUUCGGGUCGUAAAGCUCUGUCAGAGGGAAAGAAGUGUAUAGUGGCUAAUAUCCGCGAUACUUGACGGUACCCUCAAAGGAAGCACCGGCUAACUCCGUGCCAGCCGCCGCAGUAAAAC
rnacentral:rRNA from 1 species